CAAUAUUUGAAAGUGGCAAACGGGUGAGUAACACGUGGGAACCUGCCUUUGAGUGGGGGAUAACGAUUGGAAACGGUCGCUAAUACCGCAUACGCUCUCGGUCUGUGGAGGGCCGAGAGGAAAGAUAUAUUGUUCAAAGAGGGGUCUGCGUCCGAUUAGCUAGUUGGUGGGGUAAAGGCCUACCAAGGCGAUGAUCGGUAGCUGGUCUGAGAGGAUGGUCAGCCACACGGGAACUGAGAAACGGUCCCGACUCCUACGGGGGGCAGCAGUGAGGAAUAUUGGUCAAUGGGCGAAAGCCUGAACCAGCAACGCCGCGUGAAGGACGAAGGCCUUCGGGUUGUAAACUUCUUUUAACGGGGAAAAGAAAGGAUGGUACCCGUUGAAUAAGUCACGGCUAACUACGUGCCAGCAGCCGCGGUAAUACGUAGGUGGCGAGCGUUAUCCGGAGUUACUGGGCGUAAAGCGCACGCAGGCGGUAUAGUAAGUUUGGUGUAAAAACUCCUGGCUUAACCGGGAGACGUCGCUGAAUACUGCUAAACUUGAGGCAAUGAGAGGAGUGCAGAAUUCCUGGUGUAAUGGUAAAAUAUGUAGAGAUCAGGAGGAAUACCUGAGGCGAAAGCGGCACUCUAGCAUUAGCCUGACGCUCAUGUGCGAAAGCGUGGGUAGCGAACGGGAUUAGAUACCCCGGUAGUCUACGCUGU
rnacentral:rRNA from 1 species